rnacentral:lncRNA from 1 species
AAAAAUUUAAACUUCAAUAAACUUUCUAUUAUACAAGUACUAAGGUUAUUAUGAUCAUUUUGCUUUACUGGGCAUGUAUGUAUAUAUUUACUAUAACUUGGAACUUAAAUUCGAGAUAAUUACACUUAUUCAAAACCCUAGGCCUAGUCUCUAAGGGUACCCCACUUUGUGCAUGAUACUGCUAAAAAUCCAUCCACAUGGGCUUGGCGAGAUCUGACUUGGUCACUACACACACUCCUUAAGUCAUCCCUUGAUUCUGCAAUCAAGGCAAAACACUCAUAAGUUCAAAUGAACUUAGUAAGAAUCUAUAUGUACAAGCCCAAAUUUGGGCCCAAAACCCCUAAACCCACUAAGCUUAAAACCCAACAAAACCUACCCAAACCCCAAACGGGCCCAAUACCUAACAUCAACCCAAUACUCAAAAUCAAAAGACAAAAAGAAAAGAAACCCUAAAAUCAGCUUAUGCCGCCUCUGCCCCCAGCCCCAUACCAGUCGGCCACCUAAACUACCUACUCUCUGACGCCUCUGAUGAAGCAUCAACACCGCCACUGUGCCACCGCUCCACUUGCACCUGCAAAAGGAAGAGAAAAGACAGAUAAUAUAAAAUAAGGCAUGUAAUUUGGCUUUAAAAAGAAGAGCCUAAAUCAAUUUGGCUCUCUCUUUUUUUUCGGCAGUUUCUUUUUCUUAACAAAAUACAAACAUUUAGCAGUCAUUUAGCCACAAGAAAUAGACUUAAAUACAAGCGUAAAAUCACAGCAAAGAAAACACCAAAGGGAGUUCAAAGAUUUUAAAACAAGGUUUAUCUAUUUUCCUUUUUUCGGACCUAGUUACACAUAUCUUUCUCUAUUUCAUAUUUUUUUUAAAAAAGCACCAUAUAUAUACAUAUUCAUACACAAAUAAAAAAUACGCAAAAAUCUUACCCUUCUUUGAUUUUCGGCCACCGUGUACGGUGGCCGACGCGGCGGACAGCGUCGGUCCAAUCACCGGACCCUUGAUCGGCGCAGGAGCCCUGGCAGAGAAAAGGAAGAGGGUCCUUUUGAAUUUUUUUUUCUAUUCCCAGCAGAAAUG